rnacentral:tRNA from 1 species
GGGGAGGUAGCUCAGGGAGAGCGCCCCGGCCGUUAACCGGGGUUGUUGCGGUUCGACUCCGCACCUCCCCG